GUCUCAGAAGCAUAGUUAGUGCACAGCCCCGGACAGGUUGAGGCGCGGGUUCGAAUCCCGCCUGAGAUG
rnacentral:tRNA from 1 species